GAUAAACGCUGGCGGCGUGCUUAACACAUGCAAGUCGAAUGAAGUUUUUCUUUCGGGAGGAACUUAGUGGCGGACGGGUGAGUAACGCGUGGGUAACCUGCCCUGUACAGGGGGACAACAGCUGGAAACGGCUGCUAAUACCGCAUAAGCCCUUAGCACUGCAUGGUGCAUAGGGAAAAGGAGCAAUCCGGUACAGGAUGGACCCGCGUCUGAUUAGCCAGUUGGCAGGGUAACGGCCUACCAAAGCGACGAUCAGUAGCCGAUCUGAGAGGAUGUACGGCCACAUUGGAACUGAGACACGGCCCAGACUCCUACGGGAGGCAGCAGUGGGGAAUAUUGCACAAUGGAGGAAACUCUGAUGCAGCGACGCCGCGUGAGUGAAGAAGUAUUUCGGUAUGUAAAGCUCUAUCAGCAGGAAAGAAAAUGACGGUACCUGACUAAGAAGCACCGGCUAAAUACGUG
rnacentral:rRNA from 1 species